AAGUGUCCUUUCUUUUCCAUUAGAACAGGGGUGUCAAACAUGCGCCCACCCCAGAUGUUGCCGAACUACAACUCCCAUGAUUCCCUGGCUAUCUGUUUCAUUGAAAGAAUCAUGGGAGUUGUAGUUCAGCAACAUCUGGGGGGCCGCAUGUUUGACACCCCUGCUUUAGAACUACAGGAAAUUA
rnacentral:miRNA from 1 species